AUUGAACGCUGGCGGCAGGCCUAACACAUGCAAGUCGAGCGGAUGAAGGGAGCUUGCUCCUGGAUUCAGCGGCGGACGGGUGAGUAAUGCCUAGGAAUCUGCCUGGUAGUGGGGGAUAACGUCCGGAAACGGGCGCUAAUACCGCAUACGUCCUGAGGGAGAAAGUGGGGGAUCUUCGGACCUCACGCUAUCAGAUGAGCCUAGGUCGGAUUAGAUAGUUGGUGGGGUAAAGGCCUACCAAGGCGACGAUCCGUAACUGGUCUGAGAGGAGGAUCAGUCACACCGGAAUGGAGAGAGGGUCCAGACUCCUACGGGAGACAGCCGUGCGGAAUAUUGGAGAAAGGGAGCAAGCCUGAUCUAGGCAUGCCGUGUGUAGGACGAAGGUCUUCGGAUUGUAAAGCACUUUAAGUUUGGAGGAAGGAAAGUACGUUUAUAAAUUGCGGAUUUGACGUUACCAAAAGAAUAAGCACCGGCUAACUUCGUG
rnacentral:rRNA from 1 species